ensembl:ncRNA C01B7.14 ncRNA
CCGCUCUUCGUUUUUCCUCCACUCUUCCUCUUUGUUGACAACAUUCUGGUGGUGUCUCCGGGCCAGCAGACAAAGAGACAUUAAACUUGACGGAAAAGAGAGUCGGGUCUCUGAAGGAUUCAAGGAGACUGACUAACAGAAUGAAGAAGGAGACGACCACGAUGUCAAAUGAUUCGGAAGAUGUUGACAGACGACACGUGGCAAACAAGUGAACACUCGCACAAAAGUGUUAAAGGUAAACGGGGGAGGGAAUAUUGGAGCACAACCACCACUCGGCUGCUUUUGAGGCAGUUGAGGU